GACGAACGCUGGCGGCGUGCUUAACACAUGCAAGUCGAACGGAAAGGCCCUGCUUUUGUGGGGUGCUCGAGUGGCGAACGGGUGAGUAACACGUGAGUAACCUGCCCUUGUCUUUGGGAUAACUUCAGGAAACUGGGGCUAAUCCCGUACAGGAGCUCCUGCUGCAUGGUGGGGGUUGGAAAGUUUCGGCGGUUGGGGAUGGACUCGCGGCUUAUCAGCUUGUUGGUGGGGUAGUGGCUUACCAAGGCUUUGACGGGUAGCCGGCCUGAGAGGGUGACUGGCCACAUUGGGACUGAGAUACGGCCCAGACUCCUACGGGAGGCAGCAGUGGGGAAUAUUGCACAAUGGGCGGAAGCCUGAUGCAGCAACGCCGCGUGCGGGAUGACGGCCUUCGGGUUGUAAACCGCAUUCGCCUGUGACGAAGCGUGAGUGACGGUAAUGGGUAAAGAAGCACCGGCUAACUACGUG
rnacentral:rRNA from 1 species